rnacentral:lncRNA from 10 species
CAUCAAGCCAGGGAAACUUGUUCUCCCUCAAGAGGCUGGGGAGUGGUGGAAGCCUGGUGAGCAGGGAGGAUGUGGUCAGGCUCACGCAACUCUUGGCAGCCCGUGGGACAGGUAUGCACAGACACACACUGCUGUCCAACUGGUCACUGUGCUCUGGAUCACCCACCCUCAGAAGGGCUCUGCAAGAUCUUCAGUGAAGUUGGACAUAACUCUUAAUUUGCUUGGAGAAUGUGGAGAGUCAAGGGACUGAAUGUUUUAUUGUGCAGGGCUGAAAGAGAAAAGUAUGUAAUCGUUUCUGGAAAAAUUUUAUCCAAAUAGGCCUCCUUGUGUGGAGUUGGAAGAAGAGUAUAAUUUCCUCAGAGACUAUUCCUGCAUGAUUCAGGAACACUUCUUUAAUAUCCAACAGAGGAAUGAGAUGCAAACAUGAAAACAAAGGGAUCUGAUCAUGUGCCUUCCACCAGAGUCCACAUCUUCCCAUCAUCUGGGGUACAAGCACAAGCAUCUCAGGUUAGGCUUUUGAGAAGAAGAUGUGAUGUGAAGAUUUCUGUGCAAUCGAUGCAUGAAGGAAGAGCUUCCAGGAGAAACUGGUGAAAGAUGAGCUGCUAUUCAGAUACUGCAUAUUACCACGCAAGCAAAUGGAAGCCAUUCCAGGAAGACUUCAAGGAGGAGCAAAGCUACUAGAACCUUUGUGGAUACUAAGACCCACGCAUGGGUUUGUGAUUUUCGGAGAUCACUGGACAUUUUGAAGUGUGAGCUCUCUGUGGAAGGCAAGCAUACGGAACUCCGUCUGGUAUUUCUUCCUGGAAACAAACCUACUCUCAGAAAACCCAUUGAAGUCCCUGUUUUACAACUAACAUAAUGGGCGUGUGGAAAUGCCUCUCCAUCCACCAGGGGGCAGAAACGAACCCUUUGAUUGGCCAGAGAUCUUUGGACUUCAACUUUGAUUUGGAAUAGUUGUAAUUUGCAUAGCCUUUUCACUCUCAGACAUCACUCUUUCUGUCACUAGGAACAUAACCAUAUAGACUUUUCAAAGAAACCUCUUAAUUCUGUGUGAAACUCUAAACUUCACUCUACCAAUAAACUUCCCCACAUUCACACUAGAGAGAUGUGAUGGGAAUGCUGGGUCUUACAUAUGGUGGUCUUCAUAUUUUCGUGGAUUUGUCUUUUGAGGCAUGGAGUGCCUGACCUUUGCGUAUGCAAGAUUCGCUAGCAUGUAAACUCUGUCACUGUCUCCCAAGAACACAGAAACAGGGCUAUUAAUAAUUUUAAUGCUUACUGUUUUGUGUAGCUUUUUUUGCAGAAACUGUCUAUUAAAAAGUCAAAUUUGGUGGUGCUUUUCUUGUGUUUUUGGUGGGGAGGCGGACCGCUUCCUGGAAGGAAGGGAUGUGUGUAAUGUAUAUAAAGUCACCUUGUGCUAUUCUCAUUCAGUUUAGCACCGUGCUGCUCAGUGAUCAUGGCCUUCAUCAAUGCAAGCAUCAAAGUAAGGGUGGCCAUUUCAGGAG